AGAGAGAGACAUGCGCGCAUAUCAAUAAGCGGAGGAAAAGAAACUAACAAGGAUUCCCCUAGUAACGGCGAGUGAAGCGGGAAGAGCUCAAAUUUGAAAUCUUAAAGGGUUUCCCUUUACGAAUUGUAGUUUAAAGAAGUGUUUUCUGUUGAGGUUUUGGUAAAAGUUCUUUGGAAUAGGGACAUCAUAGAGGGUGAGAAUCCCGUAUUUGACCUUUACUUUCAACUUUGUGAUACACUUUCAAAGAGUCGGAUUGUUUGGGAAUGCAGUCCAAAAUGGGUGGUAAAUUUCAUCUAAAGCUAAAUAUUGGCGAGAGACCGAUAGCGAACAAGUACCGUGAGGGAAAGAUGAAAAGAACUUUGAAAAGAGAGUUAAACAGUACGUGAAAUUGUCAAAAGGGAAGCGUUUGACACCAGUGUUGUUUUUCUGAAAAUCAAUUAAAGAACUGUUUAUGCUAAGCUGUUUAGACUUUAUCAGCUAUCUGUUUAGUUUUGAGCUUUUCUUUAAUGCACUUUUCAGUUAACAAGUCAACAUCAAUUUCUUUUGCUGUAAAAAAGCUUGAGGAAGGUGGCUUGAGAUUCGUCUUAAGUGUUUAUAGCCUCUUGCCUAUGCAGUCCGGAGAGAUUGAGGUCUGCAGCGUAGAUCCUUCGGGGCUAAAUGCAUUUGUGCUAAGUUAUAGCAUUUUAUAGACAACUUGUUGACUAUGAUUUGUCUUGUAGCUUACUCGCUUAUGUUAUUUUACCUACGCUUAGGAUGUUGACGCAUGAGAUAUACGC
rnacentral:rRNA from 1 species